UGGGUUACAUUUACCCAACAUCCGAAGGUAACAAUGCGCUUUAUGAACUGAAGAAAACUCAAUUUCAUUUUAUGAAAUAUAAAAUCUGAUAUGUUAUACUGGCGAAAAAUUAUUCAUUGAUGAGGCAGUAUUGAAAAGGCCAUUUGUAGUAUUGCCACUCGGUGAAUUUAAUGAUUACUUUAAAGUAAUUCAGAGGUCAGCUUUGCAAUUUUAACACCCUUUCCCCCUCCCCUGUGAAACAUCCAGGUAAGUUAAAUUGCCAUGCUGUUAGCCUGUCGAGGGUAAACAGACUGUAACUCAUAAAAUAUGUAAUAUAUUUUGCUGGAAUUUUUAAUGGAUAAGAACAAAAAAUUUGAAAUGAUUUUGCGUUAUUUCCAGCAUAAAAACAGUCAUUAUGAAAUUAAAUGAGCAACAGAAUUUUCUUUCAGAAAAUGAAAAUAAAAAAAAGAAAAAAAAUAUAUAUAACACCCCGUAUCAUUCAUAAGAAAACGAAACCUUUUUGUGACAGUAUUGGUAAAGUACCGGCUUUCCAUGAAUAUAUAGAUUAGUUAGAUUAUUCGAGUAAUUUAGGUGUCAGCUUGUAAUUAGAACACCCUAUCUCCUUUCGCAGCACAACGGCCAGUUAGACCUAUAAACAGGCUGUAACGCAAAAAGGAAAAAGGAUAUUUCCCCCUGAAAUUUUGGACGAUAAAGGGAAAUAAUGUGACACUACUGACGUAGAUGUACAAAAUGUGCUUGAAUGAAAAGAAAAGAUACCUUCAGUGAAAUAGGAAAAAAAUUAUUUUGAGACCGUAAAAAAGUUGACAUUUAAAAGACUAUAUUUUCUUAAUUCAAUCAUAUUCAUACAGUUAGUGGUUAUAGAAAUAUAGCUGUAACUAUUGGCUUUUUAAAAAUGUAUAUGUCAAGUAGGUUUUAUUGACGAAAUCAGUUGAAAUUAGUGAUUUUGUGCGAUAACCCCCUAUUCAGCAGUCACUGACUCAAACACCCUCAGGCUCAAGGCUGCUUUCUAGGUCACCGCUAGCCAGGGCCUACGGCGUUAAAGUGAUUGUCAACUACCAGUAUGUUUCUCAGUCUUUGAAUUAACAAAGCAACAUCGAUGAUUCAUCUUGCCAUAUCCGGUAUAUAAGGUUGAAACCUUUAUCAGUGAUCAUUCGAGUAGAGAAGCGCUUUUCCAGCAAGUAUCUCAAUUUUACUCGUGUGCCUUACGAGAACCCGGAAGUCAGAAGAUGGCCGGUUAUCUUGGUGUCCUACUGAUUGCAGUCAUUUUGACGGGCAGUGUUCUGAGGGAAACCAAAGCAGAUUGCUGUUAUUCGAUACCGCGCUCAGGAUUCUGUAAGGAUUGCACAAGAAAAACACCUUACUGUGGGAGCGGGCCAUGCAAUAUAUUCGGCUGUGCUUGCCAAGGUGGAUGCCGAAGGGACUGUGGUUAUAGACUCGGUAGCUACAGCAAAAUAAUUACUGGGGGGCAUAUCUCAAGGCUUUCUACAUGUGACUGCACUAAUAAAAGAUCACUGAGAGAUGGUCACAAAAAUUAAGAAGUCGAUACAGACAGAUAUGGUAAUAAACCACAGGCUUUAUUUAUAUUGAGAAAUGAAGAAUAUGUUGAGAGAGAAGAGGCCUGGAUAGUGAUUUAUUUCCGAUUUUAAAAUUGAGAUAAUAUAAGAUAAACGCCUGUUCUAUAAUUCAACAGUAUUGCAUAGCAUUUUAAUUGUUGUUUUCUAUUCAAAUAUUGGCAGGGCACCAAAAUUUAAGGUAGUUUUUAAAGAAAAAAAUUAGAAGUAUGUCAGCACAGUCACACAUUUCCACCUAGCACAAACGGGUCGUUUAUCACUUGAAGACCAACAAAAUGGCUUAAACGGUGCAUAUACUUAAGAAAAUAUGUCUACAUAAUGAUUCCCUUAUCAAAAAACACAAGUUCAUUUUGUAAAUUUCGAACCCUUAAAUGUGCCAUGUGUCCCAUUUGCUAGGUCUGGGUGUUUGGGUGGAAAUUUUUCCAUUCUGUAUAAAUGAUACCAUCCCUUGUCAUGCAGCGGUACACGUGCACGUGAUAAAAAGCGCUGUUAUGCAUUACCUAUCUGAAAUGUACUAUUUUAUCAUGUAAGUAGAAACAA